rnacentral:rRNA from 1 species
UAGUGUCUGAUUCUGGGUCAAUGAACGCUGGCGGAUGCUUUACACAUGCAAGUCGAACGGCAGCACGGACUGGUCUGUGAGUGGUGAACGGGUGAGUAAUAAUGGAACGCCCAGAAGUGGGGGAUAAUCAUGCUGAAAAGCGGUAGCUAAUACUCGACACGCCCUUCGGGAAAGUGGGACCUCUCGGGCCUCGUUAGAGCGGCCGAUAUCGGAUUAGCUAGUUGGUGGGGUAACGGCUCACCAAGGCGACGAUCCGUAGCUGGUUUGAGAGGACGACCAGCCACACUGACCGAGAUAUCGGCCCAGGACUCUACGGGAGGCAGGGAAUUUUGGACAAUGGGGGAAACCCGAUCCGAGCCAUCCCGCGUGUGCGAUGAAGACCGGUUGUAAAGCACUGGCAGUAAAGAAACGGCACGGGAUAAUACCCCGUGCAACUGAUGGUACCUGCAGAAUAAGCACUGCCACCAUGUUGCAGCCGCGGUAAUACGUAGGGUAAGCGCGUUAAUCAUGAAUUAUUGGGCGCAGCGUAGGCGGUUCGGAAAGAAAGAUGUGAAACUCAGAUGGUAACUUGGAACCGCAUUUAACUACCGAGCUAGAGGUACAGAGGUGGGAGGUGGAAUUCGGCGUAGCAGUGAAUGUAGAUAUGCGGAGGAACACCGAGCGGCGAAGGCAGCCUGGGAUACCGACGCUCAUGCACGAAAGGUGGGGAGCAAACAGAUGAUAGAUAACUUGGCAGUCCACGCCCUAAACGAUGUCAACUAGCUGUUACCUUCGGCCCGGUAGCGCAGCUCAACGCGUGAAGUUGACCGCCUGGGGAGUACGGUCGCAAAGAUUGAAACUCAAAGGAAUUGACGGGACCUGCACAAGCGGUGAUGAUGUGGAUUAAUUCCGAUGCAGAACGCGAAAAACCUUACCUCACCUUGACAUGUUCAAAUCCCGGAAGAGAUUUGGGAGUGCUCAAAGAGAACCGGAACACAGGUGCUGCAUGGCUGUCGUCAGCUCGUGUCGUAGAUGUUAAGAGUCCCGCAACGAGCGCAACCCUUGUCACAGUUGCUACUGAAAGUGCACCUAAUGAGACUGCCGGUGACAAACCGAGGAAGGUGGGAUGACGUCAAGUCCUCAUGGCCCUUAUGGGUAGGGCUUCACACGUCAUACAAUGGUCGACAGAGGGUCGCCAACCGCGAGGGGAGCCAAUCCCAGAAACCCGAUCGUAGUCCGGAUCGUAGUCUGCAACUCGACUGGGUGAAGUCGGAAUCGCUAGUAAUCGCGGAUCAGCACGUCGCGGUGAAUACGUUCCCGGGUCUUGUACACACCGCCUGUCACACCAUGGGAGUGGGUUUUACCAGAAGUAGUUAGCCUAACCGUAAGGAGGGCGAUUACCACGGUAGGAUUCAUGACUGGGGUGAAGUCGUAACAACGUAG